ncrna:unclassified sequences Twister-sister ribozyme sequence
AGGCAGGGCAAGGCCCAGUCCCGUGCAAGCCGGGACCGCCCCUUCGGAAGAGGGGGCGCGGCGCUCAUUCCUGCGAAA